ensembl:lncRNA
AUAUAAUUGUUACAAUGAAUCUUACAGUACUUCUCUCUCAAUUUAAAUUUUAAAUUAAAAUGAGCUUAAUUAGCAUGAUCAUAACUAAAUGCAGUAUUACCAGGGCACUAUAUAUGAAAAGACAGGUAUAUUAUAUUUAUCUACAUAUCUAUCUAUACGUAUAUUUUUUGCAGAGGAGAACUAAGAAACAACGGACUGAGUUUCCUCUCCCUCUCUCUCUCUCUCUCUCUCUCUCUCUCUCUCUCCGUCCCUCAGGGCCGUACUGGCGCUCUGUGAAUGCUCUGGCCCACACGGUGGACAUGUCCUACCUGCAGGCACAGAGGCGGGACUCCGCCAGCGACGCCGUCUCUGCCCUGGCCUCCCUCAGCGUGGGCGUCCACAGCAACAGCAGUUCUGCUCACCAUGAGUACAUGGGACAUGACCCCGACCACUCCAUGUAAGAGGCAGCCGUCUCUCCCAACCCCCAGGAUGCCCCCCCCCCCCCGUCUACUGAUGCCUGUCCUCUCCUUAUCAGGGGAUACUCCUGCAGGGAGACCUGCAGCCAACUGAAUGUCUUUCAGUGCCUUGCUAUCCGUCAUAUAAGCUUUAAAACCAGCAAUGACAAAGAAGACUGAAUCAGUAAUAUGGGAUUCUUAAAAAAAAAAAAAAAAAAAAAAAUGACAUGGGGACAUUCAGUUUUAAUGUCGAAAUAUUGUGAAACUUAAGAGUUCUUUGAUUACUACUCUUCACUUCUUCAGCUUUCGCUCUUUGAUACUGGUAGUCUUCAAACUGUCAUAUAGGUUGAUAUAUAUUGGGGUUGUAGUCUGUGGCCACUUGAUUACGGGGGGGGGGGGGAUCACAGGAUACCUGGGGUCGUAGGGUUAAAGGUGAUGCCCUUUGGUACAACAGAUGUUCCUCUGUUGGGUAGUCUACACAAGGUCCAGAGAUGUGGGCUGAGUUCAUGGCUAGUGCUUCUUUCACUGCUAAGGUGUUGUACACCAACAGCGGCUCUCCUUCCUUGACCUGAAUGAUCACGCCAUUGAAAAGGGUGGUGGCGGCGGUAGAGGGAAGGAAUGGUUUGGAGCAGUUUGGCUAAACGCUCCGAAUCUGACCAUCAGGGCACUGUCAAGGUUGGAAGAAGUAGUAAAUUGGCGUGACCAGUAUCGAAGGAAACCAAAGAAGGAAGUGCCAGUAUGCUGGAUGCCACACACGGUGCCUUCCUCACUGUGAAGUGAAGAAAAUAUGUUUUUUUUUUUGUUUGUUUAUUUUUUUUUUAAUGAAACCAUUUUAUUGAGCACUGUGUUGAAGUUCUCUUAUACUGUCCUGGGGUUGUUUUGAGGAGUUAACCCUGAUGUAAGACAUGAAGCAUUUUUUAUUAGGUGGAGUUUAUGAAGGAAUUUUCCAGAAAGCAUUCAGGAAGUAAACAAAAAUAGACGUUCCUGUUCGUACUGAGCUGUUAGUUUAAACUAUGCCUUUUAGUCAUUCCUUUUUUCCUCAAAAACCAAAACACACAGCUGUCUUAAGGAAUUAUUCCUCAAAAACAAGAGACCUCUGUAACUUCUUUUUCCAAUUCAUUGUAACUCCACUGCCAGUGAUUUAGAAUUUCGAGUUCAGUUAAGUACAGCAUGAAACAGGCAAGCAGAAAAAAAAGUAACUCAAAAAAUGAGACCAGCUUGAGAUGCUUGCAUUACAAUGACAUGCUGGACUUCACAGGAUCCUGUCCACUGACGAAAAUGCACUCCAGUUGCCUUAACAAAAAAUUGGUCCGUAGCACACAAACAUCCAGCCGAAUAUGUCUUUAUAUUCCUGAUUGAAACAAAUUUAGUUUUUAUGUUAGAGCUCACCCAUGAAGACCAGUGUUUUAACCUGUGGACGUAUAUGCCUACCAUGUUACAGUAUGUACCUAUUUGAGGCUGCAUUCCUUCAAUAUAUAUAUAUAUAUAUAUAUAUGUAUUUUUUUUUUUUUUUAACAAGACCAGUGAGCUAUGUGAGCCUCACAGCCUAUAAGUGUGUGUACUGAAGGUUGUUUUAAAGUAUAUAUUUAUAUAGAGUUUCCAUUUGUGGACCAAUGAGUGAUUUUUUAUACUGUUGGGUUUCUGCAUGUUGUUUGGUGUGUCCUUAGCCUAAGUGUUGGGUUCGGUGCUAGUCGCAAAGCAUAUUUAGACCUUGAGGCCUUAAUGACAUACUCCUUAGACGCAGCACAGCUCGUAGGACAUCGUAGCUGUUGAGCAGUCUCUCAUUUUGUUGUCAUCUCCGAGAUGACACUCGCUCGACAUUCUCCAGUUCCCUUGUUUGACAGUGUCUCAUCGCAAGAUGUUAGGGUGUCCUCGGACAUGUCCUCGGCCUUACUCCGUCCUUGCCCUCGCGUAGCCGAUGACGACACGAUGAGAUGGCCUGCUUGCUUUUGUUCUCGGGCCACGGUCAGUCAGCAACAUCAGAGAGAGAAAGAGAGUAAGGGAGAGAGAGGGAGAGAGAGAGAGAGAGAGAGAGAGAGCCGAGGACGAGCCAUCAUCUGGAACCGUUAUGAGUCCGUAUCGGCGGUUCUUUUGGAAUCAUAAAAGAGGGAGAGGGGUCUGAGAGGGCUCCGUUCCCCCGUUUGAAUUCCAGGAACGCAGCAAUGGAAUUAACCCUGAACGUCGUCUCACCUUCCCAAGGCUUUUCAUUUUUCGGGCCCCAUAAUCGAAUGUUUUUGGGCCCGCUGAGGCUCGUCCUGAGCUGAGAUCUGAGCACCUGAAUGUAACUUGACGUCUCGCACAUUUUGUUUGCGUUGAUCUCCGUGCUCUGAUGUGGCCGAUACUCAAGUUACAUCCCUUGCAGAAAUGCACCCCCUCUCUCCCCCCUUUGCACCAAAACUGAUCAUAAGAUUUUUGUAAUAUCUCCCAAAAAAAAAAGUGUCUUUUGAAAAAAGCCCUCCUAAUAAUGAAAGCUCUAUGGGUCCAUUCAGUAUGACUGCCAUGAGAGGUGCUAUCAUGUGCACUGGAAGCUUCUCACAUCCCAAUAGGUUUUGUAGCUAUGUGGCAAAUGACUUCAUGGUGCUUUUCAGGAACCCAGGCAAUGAAUGUCUUAUUAGAUUAGUCUAAUACUGAGUAAAUGUUUUAUAUUUGCUUCCUAAAUAGAAAAAAAAGAGUAGGUGCCCAGCGCAGUCUUAGAAAAUGAUUCUUUUUUCACCUAUUCCUUGUUUAUCAGUGAGUGGGCAAUGUUUCUCUGGAUCUAGCACUGAGAGGCAACUAACUGGAUCAGAUGUCCAUGGAAUCUCGAUUUUAACAAUAGAAUUCCCCGAAUUCCCCAAAUAAAAAUGAGAUAGUAGCACUUUCCUUGUUGUGG